CGAAGAAGGAUCCUGAAAACAGCCAUCUCAAGACUGUCAUUCACAUGAAUGAAGAUACAGUUUGUGUAUAACAUCUAAGCUAAUGAACUCCCAUCAAGCUUUAUGAGCCACAGCUCUCAAGCCAAGUGAGGUACCGGAAGUUUCUCAUCAGUUUCAUUCUACAACAAUGUAGGGUCUGACUUCCCAUCUUGGAACUUCCUCCCAGCUCCAGGCCAGUACACCCACAUCUUCUCCUUCUUAAGUGGAACAGCAGCCAUUGUUUGGACCGAAGGUCUGUCUAGAUUGCAGAUAGAGAAAGGCAUACCCCAACAUUCGGGCAGUACUUCUAUCUGAGAGUCAUUUGCCAUAUUCUACAAAGGAAAGGGCAGCAAGCCAAAAAACAGCAGCCUGGAUUUGGCCUGUAAUUCACAUGGAUUACAGAUGGCGAGACAAUGACUGUUCAGCUGAUGAGAAAUCUUAUCAGGCAAGAUUAACAUACAAGGUAAUUUUAAAUAGAAAGUGGGAAGAUUUCUUGGAAUUUUUCAGUCCUGUCUCCCACCAUGGAAGGAACUUGUGGCUUAGCAGGACUGUAGAUGUCAGACAGAGACUUGAAUGAAACAAAAAACAUCCUUCUAUCAGUAAAUUUCCUCAUCUAAUAAAUGUUCGAAGUCCUACUGGGUUGAUGAAAG
ensembl:lncRNA